UGUGCACCAGUGGGGUCCCUCGGCCUGGCCUGUGGGAUCGGGCCAAAACCAGCUCUCUGACAUCCCUCAAAGGGUCUCAGAUUGCGAGAGGGCACAGGCCAGGCCGAGGGACCCCAUUGGUGCACA
rfam:Myotis brandtii contig241332, whole genome shotgun sequence.